GACCUGGAUCUAUGCGGCUGCAACGCCUAAACCUUGUCAGGACCGGAAGGUAGCAGCAACAUGGGAUGCUUGUAGUAGGCGUAGUCUCCGGGUUCCC
rnacentral:SRP_RNA from 1 species